GAACAAAUAAAAAGAUGAAACGACAUCACAGAAGCUCCAGCUGGAAGCCAUCGCUUGUACGUGUUGUCAUAUCUUGAAAAUUCACCCCUGAUGAUGAGUGAACAAAGUGAACGCACACUCCACACAUUCCACCCCAGAAUUUUUUUUUUUAUUAAUUUUUUAUUUAUUUAUUCAUUUUUUUUUAUAUUAUCAUAUUCAUAUUCAAAGUGUUCUAAUAUCACAAUUUUCCCCUUCUUUUUCUACUCAUCUAUAUCUAAACAUUGUUGAUGAAAUUAUGUAGUCUUUCUCUUCCGUAGCACAGUACCCAACUCCUGCAUAUUCCCUUGAACAAACUGACAUUAUUUAUCCCUAAGAUGUAGGCAGGAAGUUGAUUGAACAGUUUCAGUGCAAGAUAAUUACAUUGUCGCUGACCUAUAGUCUUCCCACAUCUAGGUACACUCAAGAAGCCUAAUCUCGUUCUGGUGUUGUGACAGUGUACAAUGGGCUCAAAAGCAAUUUUGGAUUUCUUUAUAUUCACCAGCAUAUUCAAACAGAAUAGCUGUCUCACAUCGAGUAUCUCGGCCUCUUCAUACAACCUAUCGUUAGAGAAGUGAACAUCACUCACACCCCCCAACCGAUGAUUCCAUAUAUCAGAUGCGACUGGACUAAUGCAAAAUAUAUCAAUUUGAGGUGUUUUAGAUCAAGGUCCCACCUCAUGUGACGGUCAAUGAUCACACCCAAAUACUUGACCGACUCUGCCUCCAGGAUGUAAGAGUCAGUACCGGCCGUUAAAGGACCCAUAGAAGGCAAUCCACUGGAGUAUGAGCAAAAGGGCAUAUAUCUUGUUUUUUCUAGGUUUAGGGCCUGGAUCGAUUACAUAUAUAGUCUACACAACCCCAGAGAGCCUUGGACUGGUUAACGUUAUCUCUUAUCAACUUUUGAGCAUAUGUUUUCUUCGCAAUAUUCAUUAAUUUAGUUAAUUUGUUCUUAUAUGCCACAUAUUCCGACUUCAAAAGUUGAUUUUCGGAAUCCCUCUGUACGGCUUUAUACAAUCGUUGUUUUGUAUUAAUUGAUGUGACAAGUGCAUUAGUGAUCCAUUUUUUUCUUUUAGUAUUCUGUUUUUUCGUUCUCACACUUUUUGUACUUUCUUCUAAAUAUUCAUUGAUUUUAUCAAUAAAGUAAUCAGUUUUAUCAUCUAUA